rnacentral:lncRNA from 1 species
CACAAUUCUUCUUCUCACAUAAUAAAACUUAUUGGAAAGCUAACAAUGAGUUCUAGCUUCUUCCAAAUUCUUAUAAUAAAAAAAAGAAAAUCUAACAAAUGGCAUAGAAAGAUCCAAACUAGUCUUGAAUUUUGCCGCCCAAAAAUUCCAACAAACUCAUUCUAACAAAUUCAUGUAAAUCUCUCUUAUCACAAUUUUUUUCUUAUAUAAAAUAGCUUUUUGAAAAGUUAAUAAUAAAAUCUAACUUCUUUUAAAAUUCAAAAUAAGAAAAAAAAAAAUAUCACAAAUGAUAUAGAAAUCCCUAACUAAACUUGAAUCUCACUACCUAAAAACUCCAACAACUCCCUUUUUACAAAUUCGUAUGGUUUCCCUUCUUCAUAGCUCUAUUUCUUA